AGAGUUUGAUCCUGGCUCAGGAUGAACGCUAGCGACAGGCUUAACACAUGCAAGUCGAGGGGCAGCACAGGGUAGCAAUACUUGGGUGGCGACCGGCGCACGGGUGAGUAACGCGUAUGCAACUUACCUAUCAGAGGGGGAUAGCCCGGCGAAAGUCGGAUUAAUACCCCAUAAAACAGGGAUCCCGCAUGGGAAUAUUUGUUAAAGAUUCAUCGCUGAUAGAUAGGCAUGCGUUCCAUUAGGCAGUUGGCGGGGUAACGGCCCACCAAACCGACGAUGGAUAGGGGUUCUGAGAGGAAGGUCCCCCACAUUGGUACUGAGACACGGACCAAACUCCUACGGGAGGCAGCAGUGAGGAAUAUUGGUCAAUGGCCGAGAGGCUGAACCAGCCAAGUCGCGUGAAGGAAGAAGGAUCUAUGGUUUGUAAACUUCUUUUAUAGGGGAAUAAAGUGGAGGACGUGUCCUUUUUUGUAUGUACCCUAUGAAUAAGCAUCGGCUAACUCCGUGCCAGCAGCCGCGGUAAUACGGAGGAUGCGAGCGUUAUCCGGAUUUAUUGGGUUUAAAGGGAGCGUAGACGGGUUUUUAAGUCAGCUGUGAAAGUUUGGGGCUCAACCUUAAAAUUGCAGUUGAAACUGGAGACCUUGAGUACGGUUGAGGCAGGCGGAAUUCGUGGUGUAGCGGUGAAAUGCUUAGAUAUCACGAAGAACCCCGAUUGCGAAGGCAGCUUGCUAAACUGUAACUGACGUUCAUGCUCGAAAGUGUGGGUAUCAAACAGGAUUAGAUACCCUGGUAGUCCACACGGUAAACGAUGGAUACUCGCUGUUGGCGAUAUACUGUCAGCGGCCAAGCGAAAGCAUUAAGUAUCCCACCUGGGGAGUACGCCGGCAACGGUGAAACUCAAAGGAAUUGACGG
rnacentral:rRNA from 1 species